rfam:Burkholderia sp. STM 7183 genome assembly, contig: CYGY01000044
UCCCCGCUUCUCCUCCCUGAGCGGGUGCCUGUCGUUUUUCGAUUAGGCUGUUUAACCCGCCGUCAACUAGCGGCGGGUUUUUUUAU